GACGAACGCUGGCGGCGUGCCUAAUACAUGCAAGUAGAACGCUGAAGCAGGAGCUUGCUCUUCUGGAUGAGUUGCGAACGGGUGAGUAACGCGUAGGUAACCUGCCUGGUAGCGGGGGAUAACUAUUGGAAACGAUAGCUAAUACCGCAUAAGAGUAGAUGUUGCAUGACAUUUACUUAAAAGGUGCAAUUGCAUCACUACCAGAUGGACCUGCGUUGUAUUAGUUAGUUGGUGGGGUGACGGCUUACCAAGGCGACGAUACAUAGCCGACCCGGGAGGGUGAUCGGCCACACUGGGACUGAGACACGGCCCAGACUCCUUCGGGAGGCAGCAGUAGGGAAACUUCGGCAAUGGACGGAAGUCUUGACGAGCAAAGCCGCGUGGGGGAAGAAGGUUUUCGGAUCGUAAAGCUCUGUUGUAAGGGAAGAACGAGUGUGGGAGUGGAAAGUUCACACUGUGACGGUAUCUUACCAGAAAGCGACGGCUAACUACGUG
rnacentral:rRNA from 1 species